rnacentral:rRNA from 1 species
CCUUGGGGGCAUGGUGCGGCGGCUGGGGAGGCCUGGAUGGCGGCGCAUGGGCGACGGAUCGCGGAGAGCGGUCGGAAGCGUGAGGCAAUAACAGGUCUGUGAUGCCCUUUGAUGUUCUGGGCGGCACGCGCGCUACAGUGGCGGACGCAGCGGGUGCCUGGGCCGGGAGGUCUGGGGAAUCGCGAGGGUCUGCCGAGCUGGGGAUGGACCGUUGGAAUUGUUGGUCCUGAACGAGGAAUUCCUAGUAGGCGCGGGUCAUCAGCCCGCGCCGAUUACGUCCCUGCCCUUUGUACACACCGCCCGUCGCUACUACCGAUUGGAUGGCUUGGUGAGGUCCGCGGGGGCUGGCUGGUGGUCGAGAGACAGCGGGAGGGCCGAAGCGGAACAAACCUGGUGAUCUAGAGGAAGUAAAAGUCG